CCUACGGGCGGCAGCAGUGGGGAAUAUUGGACAAUGGGGGGAACCCCGAUCCAGCCAUGCCGCGUGUGUGAAGAAGGCCCUCGGGUUGUAAAGCACUUUCAGUGAGGAAGAACGCCUGGUGGUUAAUACCCAUCAGGAAAGACAUCACUCACAGAAGAAGCACCGGCUAACUCCGUGCCAGCAGCCGCGGUAAUACGGAGGGUGCGAGCGUUAAUCGGAAUUACUGGGCGUAAAGCGCGCGUAGGUGGCUUGAUAAGCCGGUUGUGAAAGCCCCGGGCUCAACCUGGGAACGGCAUCCGGAACUGUCAAGCUAGAGUGCAGGAGAGGAAGGUAGAAUUCCCGGUGUAGCGGUGAAAUGCGUAGAGAUCGGGAGGAAUACCAGUGGCGAAGGCGGCCUUCUGGACUGACACUGACACUGAGGUGCGAAAGCGUGGGUAGCAAACAGGAUUAGAUACCCGAGUAGUC
rnacentral:rRNA from 1 species